rnacentral:rRNA from 1 species
GAUGAACGCUGGCGGCGUGCCUAAUACAUGCAAGUCGAGCGAACAGACGAGAGUGCUUGCACUCUCUGACGUUAGCGGCGGACGGGUGAGUAACACGUGGGUAACCUACCUAUAAGACUGGGAUAACUUCGGGAAACCGGAGCUAAUACCGGAUAAUAUUUAGCUUCGCAUGAAGCAAUAGUGAAAGACGGUUCUGCUGUCACUUAUAGAUGGACCCGCGGUGUAUUAGCUAGUUGGUGAGGUAACGGCUCACCAAGGCAACGAUACAUAGCCGACCUGAGAGGGUGAUCGGCCACACUGGGACUGAGACACGGCCCAGACUCCUACGGGAGGCAGCAGUAAGGAAUCUUCCGCAAUGGACGAAAGUCUGACGGAGCAAUGCCGCGUGAGUGAAGAAGGUUUUCGGAUCGUAAAACUCUGUUGUAAGGGAAGAACAAGUACGUUAGUAACUGAACGUACCUUGGCGGUACCUUACCAGAAAGCCACGGCUAACUACGUG